GAUGAAGAACGUAGCAAAAUGCGAUACUUGGUGUGAAUUGCAGAAUCCCGUGAACCAUCGAGUUUUUGAACGCAAGUUGCGCCCGAAGCCUUUUGGCCGAGGGCACGUCUGCCUGGGCGUCACGCAUCGCGUCGCCCCCCACAAUUCUCCGUAAAGGGAACGUGUGUUUUGGGGGCGGAUAUUGGUCUCCCGUGCUCAUGGCGUGGUUGGCCGAAAUAGGAGUCCUUUCGAUGGACGCACGAACUAGUUGUGGUCGUAAAAACCCUCGUCUUUUGUUUCGUGCUGUUGCUCGCAAGGUAAACUCUUUAAAAACCCCAAUGUGUCGUCUCUUGACGACGCUUCGACCGCGACCCCAGGUCAGGCGGGACUACCCGCUGAGUUUAAGCAUAUCAAUAAGCGGAGGA
rnacentral:misc_RNA from 1 species